UACGAAGGGAACUAGCGUUGUUCGGAAUCACUGGGCGUAAAGCGUGAGUAGGCGGCUGUAUAAGUCAGAUGUGAAAUCCUUGAUCUCAAGUCAAGAACUGCAUUUGAAACUGUACAGCUUGAGAGUAGUAGGGGGUAAUGGAAUUCCAAGUGUAGAGGUGAAAUUCGUAGAUAUUUGGAGGAACACCAGUAGCGAAGGCGUUUACCUGGGCUACAACUGACGCUGAGUCACGAAAGUGUGGGGAGCAAACAGGAUUAGAUACCCUGGUAGUCCACACUGUAAAUGGUGAGUGCUAGAUGUUGGGAAAUUUAUUUUCUCAGUAUCUGAGCUAACGCAUUAAGCACUCCGCCUGAGUAGUACGGUCGCAAGAUUA
rnacentral:rRNA from 1 species